rnacentral:rRNA from 1 species
AACCUGGUUGAUCCUGCCAGUAGUCAUAUGCUUGUCUCAAAGAUUAAGCCAUGCAUGUCUAAGUAUAAAUAGUAUACAGUGUAACUGCAAAUGGCUCAUUAAAACAGUUAUAGUUUAUUUGAUAAUUGAAGGCUACAUGGAUAACCGUGGUAAUUCUAGAGCUAAUACAUGCUAUCAGGCCCGACUUUUUGGAAGGGUUGUAUUUAUUAGAUAUAAGCCAAUAUUCCUCCCGGUCUAUUGCGGUGAAUCAUAAUAACUGAUCGAAUCUCAUUUAUUGAGAUAAAUCAUUCAAGUUUCUGCCCUAUCAGCUUUCGAUGCUUAGGUAUUGACUAAGCAUGGCGGUAACGGGUAACGGAGAACCAGGGUUCGAUUCCGGAGAGGGAGCAUGAGAAACGGCUACCACAUCUAAGGAAGGCAGCAGGCGCGUAAAUUAUCCAAUCCUAACUCAGGGAGGUAGUGACAAGAAAUAACAAACUGGGGGCUUCACGCCUUACGGUAUUGCAAUGAGAACAAUUUAAAAUCCUUAGCGAGGAACAAGUGGAGGGCAAGUCUGGUGCCAGCAGCCGCGGUAAUUCCAGCUCCACUAGCGUAUAUUAAAAUUGUUGCAGUUAAAAAGCUCGUAGUUGAAAUUCUGUCUGUGCGUAGUUUUGGCUUUUAGUCAGGCUGCGUGCAGGCAUCCGUCUGCAAACUCUUCUCGGCAUUCAGUUGUUCGGUUGAGGGAGUAGACUUUUUACUGUGAAAAAAUUAGAGUGUUUAAGGCAGGCCAUGGCUUGAAUACAUUAGCAUGGAAUAAUUGAAUAGGACACUUGUCCAUUUCGUUGGUUAUUGGACUCGUGUAAUGAUUAAUAGGGACAGUUGGGGGCAUUUGUAUUUAAUUGUCAGAGGUGAAAUUCUUGGAUUUAUUAAAGACAAACUUAUGCGAAAGCAUUUGCCAAGGAUGUUUUCAUUAAUCAAGAACGAAAGUUAGGGGAUCAAAGACGAUCAGAUACCGUCCUAGUCUUAACUAUAAACUAUUCCGACUCGGUUUUGGCAUGGCACAUAUAACCAUGUCAGCGCCGUAUGAGAAAUCAAAGUUACGGUUCCGGGGGGAGUAUGGUCGCAAGGCUGAAACUUAAAGGAAUUGACGGAAGGGCACACAAGGUGUGGAGCCUGCGGCUUAAUUUGACUCAACACGGGGAAACUUACCAGGUUAAAACAUUGGUGGGAUUGACAGAUUGAGAGCUCUUUCUUGAUUCGGUGGGUGGAGGUGCAUGGCCGUUCUUAGUUCGUGGAGUGAUUUGUCUACUUAAUUGUGUUAACGUACGAGACCUCUACCUGCUUAAUAGUCGCCGUAUGUACAAUACGGUGCACUUCUUAGAGGGACUUUAGAUUUUCAAGUCUAAGGAAGUUGGAGGCAAUAACAGGUCUGUGAUGCCCCUAGACAUCCUGGGCCGCACGCGUUCUACAAUGACAUGUUCAGCAAGUUCUUCCUGGCCUGGAAAGGUUUCGGGUAAUCUUGAAAACACAUGUCGUGUUAGGGAUUGAUCUUUGCAAUUAUAGAUCAUGAACGAGGAAUACCUUGUAAGUGCAAGUCAUCAGCUUGUACUGAAUCGGUCCCUGCCUUUUGUACACACCGCCCGUCGCUUCUACCGAUUGAGUGCUCCGGUGAGCCUUCUGGACUGUGGGUGGCCCGUCCAUUCGCGGGAAGUUAAGCAAACCUAUGCACUUAGAGGAAGAAGAAGUCGUAACAAGGUUUCCGUAGGUGAACCUGCAGAAGGAUCA